GCUACGGGAGGCAGCAGUGAGGAAUAUUGGUCAAUGGGCGGGAGCCUGAACCAGCCAAGCCGCGUGAGGGAAGAAGGUACUGCGUAUCGUAAACCUCUUUUGUCAGGGAACAAAGGCCGGGACUAGUCCCCGGAUGAGGGUACCUGAAGAAAAAGCAUCGGCUAACUCCGUGCCAGCAGCCGCGGUAAUACGGAGGAUGCGAAGUUUAUCCGGAUUUAUUGGGUUAAAAGGGUGCGCAGGCGGGCUGUUAAGGCGUCGGUAAAAGCCCGGGGCUCACCCCCGGCGCGCCGUUGAAACUGGCGGGCUUGAGUUGGAGAGAGGUACGCGGAAUGCGCGGUGUAGCGGUGAAAUGCUUAGAUAUCGCGCAGAACCCCGAUUGCGAAGGCAGCGUACCGGCGCCACACUGACGCUGAGGCACGAAAGCGUGGGUAUCGAACAGGAUUAGAUACCCGUGUAGUC
rnacentral:rRNA from 1 species